GGCUCCUGCCCGCCUCCCUCCUCCUCGCCCCGAGCGGCUGCGGUGGCGCAGAGCCUCGCCUGGGAGGUACCUCCGUGCCUCCCCCCACCCAGGGGGGCAGCGACGGCGCGAGGAGAAGGAGGAAGCCGCCGCCCGGAGCCCCGUCGCUAACGUCCAGGGCAGCGCCGCAUGCUGAAUGUAAUGAAAAUACGCAUUAUCAUCAUCUUCUGCACAUUAAUGAACUCUGGUGCCAAGAAUUUUCUUGUCUAGAUGCAAAGAUGAUUAGUGCAUAUAACAACAAGUCCUUUCAGGUAAGAUCAAAAAAGUAGCUCAUGUCUCAUAAGAAGGCUCUAAAAUUUUAUCAUAGUCAUCAUCAUCAGUUGUUUUUUACUUUGUCAAAUUUUUUAAUAUUCUACAUGGUCUGAAAUGCUUGUGCACACCAAGAUACAGGACACAGUGCUUUAUCUCGUGAAAGAAAGAACAAGUAGUAGAAUAAACAAACAAAACAGAAGCAAAGAACUUUCAGAAUGGACACAAAGCAAAACCAAAACCACUUCCAGAAGCUAGCAUUCUUCUAGAGAACAAAAUACUAUUUUUUUCUCUGUUAUCUAUCUUAUAACAGAGUGGAAAACUGUCGUGUCAGAAGACACAGAAUAGCUUAAUGCCUAGAACACAAGAAUUCAUCAAAGCUGUUAUGGCAAAGUCACGUACAGGAAGAAAAUAAAUGUGCAUGGGGAGGAAAAGGUCAUUUUACAGCUGUUCAUGAGUUGUGCUGAUAAAGGUACAAUGCAGGCAAUUUUGCUUCUGUGACCAAGAUAUUUGCUUCUGUUCUUCAAAAUACUGUCUGAACUCCUGUCCAUGAGCAAGGAGUUUUAGUAUGGUCAAGUUAUUAUUUUAAAGUGUCCAUUAAAUGCUAUUGCUUUGUCUUUAUAAGACAAUAGUCCAAUUCCAUAUGCCAAAUAUACCUUUUCUGUUAUACACUGAGCUUCGCUUUUUAUAUUAAACCCUACUAGCUUUAAUAAUAAUAUGCAUUAUUUCCCUAUGUAGAUGUUAUUAAUCAUUUAUUUAUACAAUCAUAAACAUAAAUGAUGCCUCAUACUAUAUGUCCCAUGGCACAUAUGUAUAGUGGUAACAGCUCACCUUAACACUAUUCCAAAGAGGUCUGGUAUGGUAGUGCUAAAACACACAACAAAAAGGGGGAUUCCAGGAAAUCACUUACAAAACACCUUAUCUGAACCAUUUUAAGCAUAUAAAUAAAUUCGUGAGUACCCUCAAAUAUGUGAUGCAUCAAUUAUUUUGUCUAAUGUGUGUAGCCAGUAGGGGUCAGACUUGUUGUAUAAUUGAGAAAACAUGUUGGAUUGCUGCAUAGAGAAUCACAGUGGCAGAAUUAAAAUGCAACAAAAAUAAGCUAAUAAUUCUCUUGCCUUUUUACAAGUGAAAAGUGAAUGACCUCCUACAUUUUGAUUAUAUUUAAGAAGCAGUCAGAUUCUGAGCCUAGUCUUUCAAAUAGGAAUUUUGAUGUCUUUCCCAUAGCUUUGAAUCAAAAACAAGAAAAAAGAUGCUGAUUUUACAGAAGCAAAGGAACAGAGAGGGAAGUAAAAUAUUCAACAAUGACAAUACAGUGUGUCAACAAUUAAUCCUAAUUACAUAGAUUUUCCUGUGAAAACAGGAUUUUUGAGAGAUUCAAGUGUUCAUGUCUGGUAUCACCACUUCAAAGUUACAGUAUAAAAGGUAUUUUAGGAAUACUGAAAUAGAUUAGGUAGACUAUAAUAUCUCUUUGUGACUGCAGACUAUAAAGACACUAGACCUACUUAACAGAACAAGCAGUUAAUACAAGACAAGCUAAAUAUGACCAGAUGAGAGUCCUGGAAUCAAUGCAGUAUACGUUUUCCACAAUUCUGUCUUUUAUGCAGGUUAUGGUUUGUUCCUUUCCUUUCUCUAAGUGAAGAAAAUUUAUGUAGGCAAUAUGUAGGAGGAUAAUGAAAAAUAUUCGCUGUGGAAAGGUGAGACUGACAUAUUCCAUUUUCAAACACAUUAUUAUGAGUUUUUGGGGAUACGGUUUUAAUUAAGGCAACUCUACUUGUUUAGAGAAGAAAUGUUGAGUUUACCUCACAGCCACAAAAGUCCUGAAGAAAAUAAGCAAAGCACUGGAUGACAUUAAUGUGUUUCUGGCAGUCUUUACUGGAAUAGCAGAUGAACACUUUUGGCCGGGGACGAAGUCUUUCCACAUGAAGCACUGCAGCAUAUGCUGAAGAUUCUGAACUCUCCUCAUCUAGAUGGGAAUAUAUAUUUUCUAAAUUGGAAGAAAGAGUACACACCAUAAAAGAUUGGAUUUUUAAACCUUUUUUGGCUCAUUACUUAAACAUACAGUAAAGAUUUUAUUCAAAAGGUAUUCCUUUUUCUUUCCCACCCUGAAAAGUAUAAGUUGCGCCACCCUCUAUUUCCCAGCUUCUGAGCUGCAACGUAUGUGGAACAUACUUGGAAAGUGAGAUGUGCAGUUAUUACUGUACGACUCAGAACACUCUCAGGAAUGGUUUGUUUUUAUAAAUAGAAUGAGGUUGUUUCACCUCUAUCCAGCUUUAACAGUCAUCAUCUUCCUGCUCAAAAACUAUCGGCCUUAAAGAUACAUCGUUAUCAAGUUUCCUGCAUAACAAAGAGAGAGUCUCUUUUUUAAAGCAGUGACGCAAGCAAAGAAAGAAUACUAACUUGCAGAAACACAUACCUUCAGAAUAUUAUGUAGUAAUUCUCUGGUAUAUAUGUAGGUUUUUCAACAUUACUUUGAACUGAGAUAGGAUUAAUUUAAAUCAAAAUAGCUAUUUGUGUUUCUUGCUUUGUAUGGAUGCUUUUAUGCCAGAACGUAAGUGCCUUAUGCCAAAAUAAUUCAAUCUAGUUCUACAGAUGAUUAAACUAGUUUGGAAUAAAGCAUGAGCAUCUCAAAAUACAAGCAUCCAUCUAGGGAUUUAUUUUAGAACGAUUCAUCAUGAAUAACUAUUCUGGAACAAUUCUCUCUGUAGACAAAUCCUCAGUGGUUGUCUGUUUUUUUUUUUGGAACUGUGCUAGCUGUGAGCUAGGGGAUAGUCACAGAAGACCAGAAGGUAAAAGGAUUUAACCCAGAUGGCAUACAGCACUUGCAGUAUACCUCAUUUCCAAAAUUCAGAUGGAGAAUACAGACAUGUGAGGUUUGGGGAAUGUAAUCUCUUUUUCCAUAUUCAUGAAACCGCACAAUUCCCAAGAUGCUACAAAAAAAAUGCCAAUUGAUUUUUAACAUCUCAAUGUAACAAGUGUGGCUUGCCAGCUCCUGGACACAGAGGAAAGAGAAGUCUGCAGAGAGAGAUGGAAUCUAAUUUAGAGAAACAUCUGCAAGCAAGUCUUAGGAAGAAUAAAUUUAGGGAGAAGGCUUAGGAUGAAGUUUAAAGGCAACUUCCAGGAAAGUGAGCAAGUCUGGAAUAAUAGAUAGAGGUAACAUUCCAGACAGUGUUGAGAACUAUAUUGGUAUCACAUAUAUGGUUUUACUUUCUUUCUGGUUUAAAAUAAAUAUGAACUAAACAUUUCUGCAUGAAAUAAGGGAAUGUUGAAAAUAUAUCAACUUAGAGAUCUGUUUGUAUUCUAUGUGGUCAUGCAGUACUUUCACAAAGUGAUAUUUUUCAAAAGAAACCCCAAACCAAAAAUAUUCCCCAACAACUCUUCUAUUCUCUCUUUUUCUCUCCUUUGACUGUGUGGUGAAGCCUUGAUUUGUGAUAUAAUACUGUCUAUGGCAAGAAAUUACCAUCAAGCACAGGAUUAAGAAUUUGCUACAAGCUUCAACACAUGAAAAAGCUGUGAGAAGGGAAGAAAGGUGAAAAAAAAAAAAGCUCUUCAGACAAAGAUAUUUCUGAAGCAAACCUACUAGUUAUUGGGUGCAAAAGUGCUCCUAUAAAUGAAACUCUAUAUUAAAUAAACACUCUACCUUGCUGUUUCUUGCGGCACAUCACUGUGAAAAGCGUUGCAAAUGCUGAAAUGACGACUAAAGGGACUGUAAUGGCAAUAGCUCUUAUGGGUCCAGCCCAUGGAGAAUGUACUUUGAAAAAUAAAGCAGAAUUAACAUUACGUAAAUAAGCUAUGUUAUUAUUAUUUAAUCAUAUCUUCACACUGGAAAUGGAAAACUGCUGCAGCAAACUAUUAUCUGUUAACUCUCAAAUAUACAGUAGAAGCAAAUAUCAUCAUGCUCUGUUUCACUUUAAAUAGGUUUGAUGUUGUUUGCCCUCAUCACUACAUCAUUGGAGUAACUAGCAUAAGUAACAAAUGCUGUAUUCCAACUCAUACUUCCCCCCAUGAGAAGAACUUUAUGUGAAGUAUAGUUUUGAUGAGAUAUCCAAUAGUCAUUUGGUCCUGUUGGAUUUCUGUUCUAGGGUAUCGGACUAGCCACUUAGAAAGCACUGUCUUUUGCACAGAUUAUCAAUAUGUAUUAGAAAUCAACCCAUCUUGCCCAUUGUCUUCAUCUGUGGCUACAUUUCUACACUUACCUUUUGAAAUCCUUAUUUAGGUUCUCGGUAACUGGCCUGAUAUAGAGAGAUGCUGAGCAUUCACCUGACAGGUUUUCCUGACUGCUUAAUUUCAUUUCCAUGCUGACGUUCACAGUCAGGUUAGGCUUAUGCUGCUCUCAUAGUUUCAUUACAUUAUUUCCACACAACUGCAUGCAUCACUUGCAUGCAAUUAAGAUGCAGACUAUGACAUAUCCAUGUAUACAAUAAAAAUGACUUUCCAACUGUAUAUCGAUCUAAACUGCACUAAAUAUUGAUGUAUAAAUAUGUAGCCAUGCAUGCACGAGUACACAUGAGUACUCUUUUUUCAAUAAGUCAAAAGAUUAGAGUAGAACUGCAUUUAAAAGUAUAGCUAAGCCUCAAUAGUCUUGAUUAUGGCAAACAGGCAUGUGUCAAAUCAACAUUUAUUUCCAACAGAAUUAAAAUUGGAUCUAAAAAAAUAAAUACUGUGUACUGUUAAAAAAAAAAAAUCAUACCUGGUUUUAGUGCAUAAUGCAUUGUUUUCCUUGUUGUGUUAGUGUCGUCCACCAGCUUUGAAAAGUAAAAGUUGAAUUUUACUUUGUUGAAAUUUUAUUAAAAUAUGUGAAAAACUUUUCUGCAUAUGUAAACAACUGUAACAGCAUUCAGUUCCAAAUGUGAAGACACUUUUUGUUCAAAAAGUUACAAUUAAAGAGCACUCAAAACUA